UGACAAGAUAAGGUAGCUGAAAAGCCCAUCGUGUGCUGAAACUUCACUGAGAUGUGUGAUGAAGGCCAUCUCCUGUGUGUCUCUCUUUGACAACUCAAUUCAAAUACCUCACUCAUGUGAAAGAGCUAUCAAGUGACACUGCUACAAGUGAGGCUGCUGUGACAGCCGUUUAAAGCUCCUUUGAUCAAAUCUUGGACACUGACGUAUUCCAUAUGUGGAUGUUGCUGGUGAACUUAAAGCUCUCAGACUGCUCCCUGGUGUUACAAUUCUUUUCAGCCUAUAGCAUGCACAUAGUCCCAGAGCACAACCUGCCAUGAAUACAAGCCUCUUUUUGCCAGGUUUUAUCUAUAGAAAUAAAAUAAAGACAGCUAAGGCA
rnacentral:lncRNA from 1 species